GCAUCUGGCGCACUCGCAACUGGACGGCCAAAACAAUCCUGAACCCGAAGAUAGAGGCGCCGGGUGUAGAAAUCCUCGAGCCCCAAGCAGAUCGGCGCGUAACCCUUGAGAUUCUUCGACUUGGAUUGGGACCAAUCGAUGAGCUUCCGGAACAGAUCCCGCAGCUGGCCGAAGGCGAAGAGGAGGCCGUAGCUGAAGAGCGUCGUCAGGGCGGUGAAAUACGGC
rnacentral:misc_RNA from 1 species